rnacentral:tRNA from 1 species
GUCCUCGUAGCUUAUAUCAAAGCAUGACACUGAAGAUGUCAAGAUGGGCGUCUCAUACACCCCCAAGGACA